CCUACGGGUGGCUGCAGUGAGGAAUAUUGGUCAAUGGACGAGAGUCUGAACCAGCCAAGUAGCGUGAAGGAUGACUGCCCUAUGGGUUGUAAACUUCUUUUAUAUGGGAAUAAAACGUUCCACGUGUGGGAUUUUGUAUGUACCAUAUGAAUAAGGAUCGGCUAACUCCGUGCCAGCAGCCGCGGUAAUACGGAGGAUCCGAGCGUGUUCCGGAUUUAUUGGGUUUAAAGGGAGCGUAGGUGGAUUGUUAAGUCAGUUGUGAAAGUUUGCGGCUCAACCGUAAAAUUGCAGUUGAAACUGGCAGUCUUGAGUACGGUAGAGGUAGGCGGAAUGCGUGGUGUAGCGGUGAAAUGCAUAGAUAUCACGAAGAACUCCGAUUGCGAAGGCAGUACACUGGACUGCAACUGACACUGAGGCUCGAAAGUGUGGGUAUCGAACAGGAUUAGAUACCCCAGUAGUC
rnacentral:rRNA from 1 species